rnacentral:rRNA from 1 species
GGCUUAACACAUGCAAGUCGAGCGGAAACGAUGAUAGCUUGCUAUCAGGCGUCGAGCGGCGGACGGGUGAGUAAUACUUAGGAAUCUACCUAGUAGUGGGGGAUAGCUCGGGGAAACUCGAAUUAAUACCGCAUACGUCCUACGGGAGAAAGCAGGGGAUCUUUGGACCUUGCGCUAUUAGAUGAGCCUAAGUCGGAUUAGCUAGAUGGUGGGGUAAAGGCCUACCAUGGCGACGAUCUGUAGCUGGUCUGAGAGGAUGAUCAGCCACACCGGGACUGAGACACGGCCCGGACUCCUACGGGAGGCAGCAGUGGGGAAUAUUGGACAAUGGGGGGAACCCUGAUCCAGCCAUGCCGCGUGUGUGAAGAAGGCCUUUUGGUUGUAAAGCACUUUAAGCAGUGAAGAAGACUCUUCGGUUAAUACCCGGGGACGAUGACAUUAGCUGCAGAAUAAGCACCGGCUAACUCUGUGCCAGCAGCCGCGGUAAUACAGAGGGUGCAAGCGUUAAUCGGAAUUACUGGGCGUAAAGCGAGCGUAGGUGGCUUGAUAAGUCAGAUGUGAAAUCCCCGGGCUUAACCUGGGAACUGCAUCUGAAACUGUUAGGCUAGAGUAGGUGAGAGGGAAGUAGAAUUUCAGGUGUAGCGGUGAAAUGCGUAGAGAUCUGAAGGAAUACCGAUGGCGAAGGCAGCUUCCUGGCAUCAUACUGACACUGAGGCUCGAAAGCGUGGGUAGCAAACAGGAUUAGAUACCCUGGUAGUCCACGCCGUAAACGAUGUCUACUAGUCGUUGGGUCCCUUGAGGACUUAGUGACGCAGCUAACGCAAUAAGUAGACCGCCUGGGGAGUACGGCCGCAAGGUUAAAACUCAAAUGAAUUGACGGGGG